UUUUUUGAGAGUUUGAUCCUGGCUCAGGAUGAACGCUGGCGGCGUGCCUAAUACAUGCAAGUCGAGCGGGGAGUUUUCCUUCGGGAGAACUCCUAGCGGCGAACGGGUGAGUAACACGUGGGCAACUUGCCCCUAAGACUGGUAUAACUCCGGGAAACCGGGGCUAAUACCAGAUAAUCUUUUCGCUCGCAUGAGCGAAUCGUAAAAGGUUUCGACCACUUAGGGAUGGGCCCGCGGCGCAUUAGCUUGUUGGUGAGGUAACGGCUCACCAAGGCCACGAUGCGUAGCCGACCUGAGAGGGUGACCGGCCACACUGGGACUGAGACACGGCCCAGACUCCUACGGGAGGCAGCAGUAGGGAAUUUUCCGCAAUGGGCGAAAGCCUGACGGAGCAACGCCGCGUGAGUGAUGACGGCCUUCGGGUUGUAAAACUCUGU
rnacentral:rRNA from 2 species